rnacentral:rRNA from 1 species
CCUACGGGUGGCAGCAGUGAGGAAUAUUGGUCAAUGGACGAGAGUCUGAACCAGCCAAGUAGCGUGAAGGAUGACUGCACUAUGGGUUGUAAACUUCUUUUAUAUGGGAAUAAAAUGUUCCACGUGUGGGAUUUUGUAUGUACCAUAUGAAUAAGGAUCGGCUAACUCCGUGCCAGCAGCCGCGGUAAUCCGGAGGAUCCGAGCGUUAUCCGGAUUUAUUGGGUUUAAAGGGAGCGUAGGUGGAUUGUUAAGUCAGUUGUGAAAGUUUGCGGCUCAACCGUAAAAUUGCAGUUGAAACUGGCAGUCUUGAGUACAGUAGAGGUGGGCGGAAGUCGUGGUGUAGCGGUGAAAUGCUUAGAUAUCACGAAGAACUCCGAUUGCGAAGGCAGUUCACUGGACUGCAACUGACACUGAGGCUCGAAAGUGUGGGUAUCAAACAGGAUUAGAUACCCCGGUAGUC